GGGAACAGAAUGGCAAUAAGCAGAUCGAAACUUGGGCAAGCUUACCUCUCCUCUCCCACUGGAAGAGAAUGGUAGGAUUCUGCCCUCUGGCAAAUGAAAGGACUAAGACAGCACAAGCACUGUCUCUCUUCCUAAACUCAGGUGGCAUGAGGAAGUCUUUGCUUUCAGAUGAGUUGUGGGUACUUUUUUUUUUUUUUUUUUUUAACACAAAGGUUUCUGUGGCUGGUGUGAUAGGAUCCAGAUUAUACAUAUGGAAUUGCUCAGCUUUAGGUGGCAUUGGGCUUGGAGGACCCACACACUGCAUGGUCUAGCAUGUGCAACAGUCGCAAGGGGCCAGAAGCAUAUCCCAGAAAAUGGUGGAGACGUGUGCAAAGUCUUCCUGCUCCCAAAUUGUCGAAGAAAGCGGCAUGCUGAUUUAAGAGCUCCGGAACAAAUGGUGAUAGGGAUGGUGAUGAUGAUGAUGAUGGUGAUGGUAGUGAUUAUAGAGAUGAUGGGAAUGUGUCCUGACUCAUUCUGCAUACUACAAAGUACCAAGACACUUAGAAACUCAUUUCCUCUCAAAAGCAUGUCUGAGACGCCGGUCAUCCUCCGAGUACCUGCACAGGAAUGAACUUAAAAAAGGGGAAAUGAGAGAUGGACUGAGAUUGAAUCCACUUGUCUCAAAAUCCUGGAUUGGGCAAUCCGCCCUGACCCAUAGGGAGAACCGAGUCUUCCUUUCAUUCCAAUGAUCGUGUUGACAAGUAGGAUCAAGGGUCUCACAUUCAAGCAUCCUACAGUAAGGAAAUGUCUAUACCCAUCUUGUCAUCAACAUGUGGUUAUUUCUGUGGAUAAAAUCAGAGAAACAGAAGAGGUCUUAGAAAGUCAAUGAUGUGAGGAGGCCAUUUUGUGGACAGCCCGAGCAUGAUGGAAAGCCUUUAUGUGGCAGCAACUGAAGCUCAAAUCCUUCCCUUGAUGAACAUCUGUAUGAUGCUGGCUGCCACACAUGUCUUCCUGUUAAAGAUCAAGAAAUAAAAGAUGUAAACACAUCUGGUAAA